rnacentral:rRNA from 1 species
GACGUAGGGCGCGAGCGUUGUCCGGAUUUAUUGGGCGUAAAGAGCUCGUAGGCGGCUCGUUGCGUCGGCUGUGAAAACCCGCAGCUCAACUGUGGGCUUGCAGCUGAUACGGGCGGGCUGGAGUUCGGUAGGGGAGACUGGAAUUCCUGGUGUAGCGGUGAAAUGCGCAGAUAUCAGGAGGAACACCGGUGGCGAAGGCGGGUCUCUGGGCCGGUACUGACGCUGAGGAGCGAAAGCGUGGGGAGCGAACAGG